GACGAACGCUGGCGGCGUGCUUAACACAUGCAAGUCGAACGAAGUGGCGAACGGGUGAGUAACGCGUAAUCAACUUGCCCUUCAGAGGGGGACAACAGUUGGAAACGACUGCUAAUACCGCAUAUUGAAGGUGGGGAUUGCGUAGGAUUAGCUAGUUGGAGGGGAAACGGCCCACCAAGGCGAUGAUCAGUAGCCGGUAUGAGAGGAAGAACGGGCACAAAGGGACUGAGGCAAGGCCCUGACUCCUCCAGGAGGCAGCAGUGGGGAAUCUUCCGCAAUGGACGGAAGUCUGACGGGACAAAGCCGGGUGAGUGGUAGAGGCCUUCGGGUUGUAAAGCUCUGUUAAUCGGGACGCGGUACCGGAAUAGAAAGCCACGGCUAACUACGUGCCAGCAGCCGCGGUAAUUC
rnacentral:rRNA from 1 species